UUAUCAGCUUAAGGAGAUUUUGGGCUGAGACAAUGGGGUUUUCUAAAUAUACAAUCAUGUCAUCUGCAAAGAGGGACAAUUUGACUUCCUCUUUUCCUAAUUGAAUACCCUUUAUUUCCUUCUCCUUUGUAAUUUCUGUUCUUUUACAUUUGCUGAGAAGUGCUUUACUUGUAACUAUGUGGUCAGUUUUGGAGUAAAUGCGAUGCGGUGCUGAGAACAGUGUAUAUUCUGUUGAUUUGA
rnacentral:lncRNA from 1 species